rnacentral:rRNA from 1 species
UACGUAGGGCGCAAGCGUUGUCCGGAAUUAUUGGGCGUAAAGAGCGCGCAGGCGGUCGUUCAAGUCGCGUGUGAAAGCCCCCGGCUCAACUGGGGAGGGUCACGCGAUACUGAUCGACUCGAAGGCAGGAGAGGGAAGUGGAAUUCCCGGUGUAGUGGUGAAAUGCGUAGAUAUCGGGAGGAACACCAGUGGCGAAGGCGACUUCCUGGCCUGUUCUUGACGCUGAGGCGCGAAAGCUAGGGGAGCAAACGGG